rnacentral:pre_miRNA from 9 species
CACAAUCAAACCGUAUAUCCAAAUUUGAUAUACAGGUGACAAAGGUGACAAAUUUGGAUAUACGGCUUGAUUGUGC